UGCUACAAGCCUGGAGCAAUCUGCUGAGAAAAUGUCUACCUCUACUACUGAUGUCAACGACAUCUCAACUGCUGCUGCCAAGACGAAGAAGAGGUGUGGAUUAUUCUCAUCUCUCUGGAGAGUUCUCAGGGGGAAGAACAAGAAGCCUGCUAAAGUGGCUUCCAAGAAAGAGGAUGAAAUCAACAAGGAUGCGAGCAGCCUCACCUGCCACCACAACACGACACAGGGAGAUCACUGAUGCAGGCACCCACAAUGGUGUUCCUAUGUUUUAUCCCACUUUGUCCUCAUCCCCAAUCCCUUUCCCCCACCCCACCCGUUUUAUCUUCAGUACACCUUUUGUCAUUGCA